GAUGAAGAACGUAGCGAAAUGCGAUAAGUAAUGUGAAUUGCAGAAUUCAGUGAAUCAUCGAAUCUUUGAACGCACAUUGCGCCCGCUAGUAUUCUGGCGGGCAUGCCUGUCCGAGCGUCAUUUCAACCCUCAAGCCCCCGGGCUUGGUGUUGGGGAUCGGCGAGCCUCCGCGCCCGCCGUCCCCUAAAUCUAGUGGCGGUCUCGCUGUAGCUUCCUCUGCGUAGUAGCACACCUCGCACCGGGAAACAGCGCGGCCACGCCGUUAAACCCCCAACUUCUGAACGUUUGACCUCGGAUCAGGUAGGAAUACCCGCUGAACUUAAGCAUAUCAAUAAGCGGAGG
rnacentral:misc_RNA from 1 species